CGUCGUCGUCGUCGUUCAAUCCGACACAAAACGUUUCGACGUUCAUCGGACGGCGAAUCGUCGCCGUUCCUCGUGCCACGCACGGGGCGGCAUGCGGCGCGCGUAAUCAGGUCGCGGCGGACGACAUCCGCGCGCGGAUGAGAGAGAGAGAGAGAGAGAGAGAGAUAUAUAUAUAUAUAUAUAGACAGCGAGGCUGUGUCCCCCGCGCGCCGAACUUUUCGCCGCGGCGGCGCGAACACGUGAGAGGGAUUAUCUCGCGGUCGCGAUAGAGGCGACGGCGCUUCUCGUUACGUAUCACAGAAGAACGGGAGAGAAUCCUCGGUCAUUAAAGCACUCGUCGCGCACUUGUUAUCUCACUUCGUCUUUAACUGCGGCGGCACUUGUAUCGUUUCCGCCUAAACUCCUCCGUGACACCGACAAUGGAGCGAUGACGGAAGUGGACGAUAUAUAGGAGUAAUGCGAAAAUCGGAGAAGAUUCGAUGCGCAGACGAACGCGAUCACGCGGGGGCGAUCGCUUCAAAUUCGUUGGUGCGGCAAUUGCGGUGCGAUUGCGAACGGCUGUCAAUUACAUAUCCCGUCACUGUCGCGCGUUCCGAGGUCAGCGAGCGACUGAGCUCCCCGGUGUAGGAAACAUAGAGAGUGGAAAGUUGCCGCCAGACGACAGACUCGCGCACUUCCCCUACCACGCGCCCCGCGCUGCGCAGUGAUGGAGCGCGAGCGAGACGGCGCUCACUUCGGGGCGAACAAGUGGAAUCAUUGGUAACAGCGGACGGCCAAUCGCGCGUCGACGUUGGCGACGGCGCCAGCGGAAAUAAUCGAACCGUUGUCAUGGCGAUCGAGUGGGGAAGAUCAUCGCGAAGUCGCGGCGUGCAAAGGUGGAGAAACAGAGAAAAAAGAUAUUCCCGCCGACUUUCUCGUAGCUUCCUCGUAAUAGCGAUCGUGAUUGUCGUCGAGUUAACCCCGGCCGAUCGUUUCCACAUGCGCGCAACGUGCAACAACUUGAUGGAAGCAACCGAGACAGUAGCCUAACGGACUCCGGGACUUUUCAACGAAAUGCACUUGUUAGGUCUCGGACAUCCCGUUUAAUCAAAUCGAUUUGCGGCAAAGUCCUCGUCAUCGACCGAAGUCCAUAUUUCUUCCUUCCCGGCGCCACGCAGCACGGUUUUAUCAUGACGAUCAACGUUAUGUGCAGGUCUCCGCCGUUGCAUCAUUGAUGCACACCAAAGGUGGAUCAGGAACAUCGCGGAAUACGGGUCCGAUCGUCGUUUCAUCGCGAGCGGGGCACAGGCAACACACGUAACGGACACGCCGAACGUAUACCGGAUGGGGAUUGCCCCAUGUUCCAAGUAUUACAAGAGCGAUCUUCUGCGUGUCGAGACUGUCGAUGCGGCAAAGAGGCCGUGCACGGGACGUCCCGCGUGAAUCCCGCGUUUCUCAUCCGCUCAAGGUGUGGCGCCAAAGAAUCCGAAGAACGACCUUAGACGCGACCUCGCCUAGGAUCGACAAAAGUUGCACGCACCCACAGUUUAGGUAUAGCCGGAAAAGUAUACUUACGCGGAAUCUAUAAAGAAUCUACAUUCCGAUUGUCAUGCUGAUCCUGCUAGUCAGUGGAUAUAAUUUGCGCCAUAAUAUGUGUAGCUUUGUAUAAUAAUAUAUGUAUAUUAGCUAUUUUUUAGAAAUAGCUUUUCAUGUGUGAAGCCAUAUUUUUCUAUUUAAAUUAUAUCUUCUAUAUAAAUCCUUUUAUGUAAAUAACAAUAUGCAUAGAGAGUCUGUUACCUUGUCAACAGUAGUUACCUCAUUAACAAUGAUAUAAAAUGUAACGUAAUUAAUAAUAUACGACCUGUUAAUAGUCAACUUUUGUCUUAUUUAAAUUUUAUUUCGUAUAAAACAAAUUUUUAAUAAUAAUAUUUCUUUAGAUCUUCCAGAGCAAUAUAUAUUCACUUUUUUUUAUACAUAUAUCAAAACUGUCCAGAAAAAAAGUAGUCGUGUGUUGUCCAGAGAUUAAUUAAGGAAUUUUAAGGAUAAAAACAAUUACGAUUCAAAAAAUUCUUUAUAAACGUUUUUAAUGAGUUAAAUCGACUUCAAGUAUGUGAUUAUAGUAUAUAAAUACAUGACUGAUUAGCGAGCACAAAUACUCGCGCUUCGCCAUGGGACACGUUUCGGUCGCGUAGGCGAUCGACUCGUACAGAGUGUGGGUAGACGAGUUUACAUCGCUCUGCACAACAGAGCCGGUGUGUCCUAUAAGUGUAUCGUCGAACGUAACAGGAAGUAACGUGGUGCGAAUAUUAACGAGCGUGUGCGGGCGCGCACAACGAAAGCGUUUACGGCUCGUUCUCUGCGCUGCACACGCGCGUGGCUUGACGUUUUGCAACACGUGCAACACGCGCGCGCGCGCUGCACUCUUGAUGUUUUCGCACCGUGUUAA